rnacentral:rRNA from 1 species
GACGAACGCUGGCGGCGUGCCUAAUACAUGCAAGUAGAACGCUGAAGAGAGGAGCUUACUCUUCUUGGAUGAGUUGCGAACGGGUGAGUAACGCGUAGGUAACCUGCCUUGUAGCGGGGGAUAACUAUUGGAAACGAUAGCUAAUACCGCAUAACAAUGGAUGACACAUGUCAUUUAUUUGAAAGGGGCAAUUGCUCCACUACAAGAUGGACCUGCGUUGUAUUAGCUAGUAGGUGAGGUAAUGGCUCACCUAGGCGACGAUACAUAGCCGACCUGGGAGGGUGGUCGGCCCCACUGGGACUGAGACACGGCCCAGACUCCUACGGGAGGCAGCCGUAGGGAAUCUUCGGCAAUGGGGGCAACCCUGACCGAGCAACGCCGCGUGAGUGAAGAAGGUUUUCGGAUCGUAAAGCUCUGUUGUAAGUCAAGAACGGGUGUGAGAGUGGAAAGUUCACACUGUGACGGUAGCUUACCAGAAAGGGACGGCUAACUACGUG